rnacentral:rRNA from 1 species
CAUCUAGGCGGUCAAUCAAGUCGAAGGUGAAAACUCGUGGCUCAACCAUAAGCUUGCCUACGAAACUGAUUAACUAGAGUACUGGAGAGGUGGACGGAACUACACGAGUAGAGGUGAAAUUCGUAGAUAUGUGUAGGAAUGCCGAUGAUGAAGAUAGUUCACUGGACAGAAACUGACGCUGAAGUGCGAAAGCUAGGGGAGCAACA